rnacentral:rRNA from 1 species
GAUGAACGCUGGCGGCGUGCUUAACACAUGCAAGUCGAACGAGAAGUGGAGACGGAAACCUUCGGGCGGAAGACUUUAUUUCGAGUGGCGGACGGGUGAGUAACGCGUGGGUAACCUGCCUCAUACAGGGGGAUAACAGUUGGAAACGACUGUUAAUACCGCAUAAGACCACAGCACCGCAUGGUGCGGGGGUAACAACUCCGGUGGUAUGAGAUGGACCCGCGUUCGAUUAGCCAGUUGGCGGGGUAACGGCCCACCAAAGCGACGAUCGAUAGCCGAUCUGAGAGGAUGACCGGCCACAUUGGGACUGAGACACGGCGCAAACUCCUACGGGAGGCAGCAGUGGGGAAUAUUGCACAAUGGGGGAAACCCUGAUGCAGCGACGCCGCGUGAGUGAAGAAGUAUUUCGGUAUGUAAAGCUCUAUCAGCAGGGAAGAAAAUGACGGUACCUGAGUAAGAAGCCCCGGCUAACUACGUG